GGUCCUGUGGUCUAGUGGUUAUGACUUCUGCUUUACACAAGCACAAACUCUCCAAGGGUUGAUAAUGCGCGCAGACGAUCGCCGGUUCGACCCCGGCCGGGAUCA